rnacentral:rRNA from 1 species
UACGAAGGGGGCUAGCGUUGUUCGGAAUUACUGGGCGUAAAGCGCACGUAGGCGGAUCGAUCAGUCAGGGGUGAAAUCCCAGAGCUCAACUCUGGAACUGCCUUUGAUACUGUCGGUCUAGAGUAUGGAAGAGGUGAGUGGAAUUCCGAGUGUAGAGGUGAAAUUCGUAGAUAUUCGGAGGAACACCAGUGGCGAAGGCGGCUCACUGGUCCAUUACUGACGCUGAGGUGCGAAGGCGUGGGGAGCAAACAGG